AACAACAGAGCAUUUAGAGUCUUUAAUUCCAGAACAAAAGUAAUGAUGGAAUCUAUAAAUGUUGUGGUUGUUGAUCAGCAGACUGAUGUCACAGACGAUGUUGAGACAUCCCUAAAUGAUUCUCUAGUUGAUUUCCCAGAAAAAAGUAAUGAGAAUGAACUCGCUCAAGCUGAACUUGAAGCUGACAAAAUUAAUAAGGGACCCUCUAUCAGAAUUCAGAAGGAUCAUCCUAAACAUCUCAUUAUAGGAGACCCAAAUAAAG
rnacentral:lncRNA from 1 species